rnacentral:lncRNA from 1 species
GAAAUUAUAUUAAUGUAGAAGCAAUUAAAAUUAUAAAGGAAAUGAAAGAGUAAGAGUCAUCAACCUUACCCUGGGUUGUAGGUAUUCGACCAUCUAGUCUGCAGCUGUGCAAAAUCAAAGUUCUAAGAGAGGUCAUUGUUCCGAUGGCUUGGAAGAUGCUAUUAUUGAGAGUAUUGUAACUCAAAUCCAAGUAUUCCAAGUUCUUGAGAUCAAGGAAGCCUGCCACAAUCAAUUAGACAAGAAAUUAUAUUAAUGUAGAAGGAAUGAAGAUUAGAAAUAAUUCAUUACUUAUUAAUCGUGGCUAAAAAAACUAAAAAUAUCCAGUAAGUGUAGAAAUUGUAUUGUCCAUUUAAGAGAAUGAUUUUUUAUAUGUCUACCCCAAAAAACAAAUGCACCUUUGUUAAUUUAUUUUUCUCCUAAAAAUAGCACUCUCUGUAUAUGAAGUUACCUUUUUAUUAAAGAAAUUAUUGUUUUUUAUGUUAUCAUUAUAUUUACUUUACAUUGAAAUGGUGUUGAGAGAGGGGUAAAGUUAAAGUGAAAUAUUAUUUAUAUUAAAUAGAUGGUAGAAUUUUAAAAUAAUAAAGAUUUCAAUUGAGUUAAUUUCUAAAUUUGAGGUUUAAUUGUCUCUCCAAGACUUGUUUAGUAGGUUGCGAAAACAUAAAAGAGGAAUUUUAUGCAAACACAUCUAAUCGUAGCAGGCCAUUGAGUGCUUGCAAAGACAGGUGUUUUAGAGAAGUAGAAAGGUCAAUGAUAAGUAAUAGUGGAGUUUAAAGUUGUUAAUUUACCUCUAGAAAGUACAAUGCCAUUGAGUGCUUGUAAUGACAUGUUUUUUAGAGAAGACAGUGCUCCAAGGCUUUGAAGAGAGUAUUCAUCUAGAGAACAACCGUCCAGAUACAAACUUUGCAAGGAGCUUAAAUUUUGCAACUCUGUUCAAAAGUAGCAAGUUGAAUUUUUCAAUUAAACCCAAAUAUAUAAACAUCACUGUAUAUAAUAUAUAACUUACCGUCACUUAAUAUUCUUCCUAUAAAAUCAUUGUAUCCCAUAGAAAGUUUCGUGAGGUUUGGGAAUGCUCGUAAUGAUUGCAGUAACUGGAAGCUACUUCCAUAGGUUGUGAUAUUUUCUAGCCAUAGACUCCUCAAGUUGCUUGGACCUGCAAGUUAGUUGGGGAAAAAACGUAUAGAUAUUAUUAAUAUUGUCCAAAAGCAAAAAUAAUUAAUAUUAUUAAUAUGGGCUCAAAUAUUAUCUUCAUGAUACCAUGUAAUGUGGAAGUUACUACUUACCUCUUGAGACUAUCAAUUUGUUAAUAUUGUUGCCGUUCAAAUACAAGAUCUCCAAGCUACUCAAAGAUUCUUGAUAUUUAUAAAAAUAAUAGUUAAUUAAUUCAUUACAAAACAUAAAUUGUGUUUUUUGAAAUUAAAUUUAAUAGAUAAUUGUGUUAAUUAAAUUUAAUAUUUAUAAUAAUAAUAGUAUAUAAAAAACCUAACCUUUCAAAUCUAUUAACCCCUUCCAAUCUAUAUAUCCAAAUAUAUAUUUAAGAGAGGAAGCAACUCCACAAAUGAUAGAAUACUACUAUCAAAACGAUUAAUUCCCAAGUCAAGAUACUUCAAAUUGCUUAGUUUCUGUAACUCAUAACCACCUAUAUAAAAAAAUAAAUUAAAUAAGAUUUCACAUGAAGAAUAAAAAAAGAUAUUAUUGGAGUAAUUUAAUUAUUAUUGAUGAAGAGUCAUGUAAUUAUUACAGUGACUUCAUGUAAAGAGGUUGAGAUGAUAAAAGUAAAAGUAAAAGGAGUGAUUGUUACAGUGAUGAUGUCAUGAUUAUAUUAAUAAUCUAAGGAAUUAAACAACACCUUAUUGCUAAAUAUUUUCUUCGAUGAUGAAUUACUCUGGAGAACCAAAAUGAUAAUAACUAAAAAAGUAAUAUAAAUAUUUUGUAAUACUUAAAGAGCAAACCUUUCUUCUCAACCCAACCAGCUAUACGAUUACCCCACAAGUGGAGAGCGUUGAGUUGUUGAAAAGGAAGAAACAUGUACUGCUGUUGCACCCAAUUCUUUACCAAUCACAGCAGUGGGCGUCAGUUUCUAUCCAGGAGGGAAGGGAGGUGCCAUUGGGAUAGUUAAGAGAAUCUUUGAGGUGCAACAGAGCGAUCCUCUCUUCCUCCAAGCAACCAAGAGGAUGCCAUCCUUGCAGGGAAACCGUCAUCACUAACACCGUCAACACCUGAAGGAACAGCCCCAUCUUAAUAUCAAAAUAUAAAAGGUGAUCAAUAUUUGUUAUAGAGGACAGCUAGCGAGGAGGUUAAGGCUUUUAUAGAGGACUUUGCGGACCCAUGCCGUGGAAAAAACCGCAUAGUGGCAACGGACACAUCCCCUCAAGGACAAUAAAUAUUUAUAAUUCAAUGUUCAUGACUUUCUUAAGCAAAAUCAAUUAAAAAAAAUCUGAAAAAAAAUCUCAGUAAUUUUAAAAAAUAUCUUAAUGAAAAACACACUCAGCAGCCACAUAAGUUAGAAGCUUCAUUUUUUUGGUUGAAAAAAAAAUUCCACUUCAUGGUCGCAUCCUCUCUCUCUUGUUUUUUUCUUAAUUUUUCAAUUGGCCGAAGUCCUAUUAAUAUUUUUUUGAUGCCGUGUUUUUUUCCUACUAAACACUAAAUUUUUAAUAUAAUUAUCUUAUGAACACUUUUUUUUUUUAAGUUUUAACAAACUAAAAGGUUGUUUGAGAAUAAAUUUGAAAUCAUAUUUUUUAAAAAAUUAAUUUUUUUGUUUAAAAUUAUUUUUUAUAUUUUUUUAUCGUUAUCAUAUGUUAAUGUGAAAAAUAAUUUAAAAAAAAAUUAAAAAAAAAUUAUUUUAUUUUAUUUCAGUACAUAAUUCACAAUAUCUGAAUUCAUUUAUUUAACAUUUAUCUUUAAUAUAUAUAAUCUGAACAUAGUUUUGAAACCUGACCCGGCGGGUCGACCCGGGACCCGGCCGACCCAGGGCUGGAACCGGGCCGGAUUGAAGAAAAAAUAGGAAAAGUCAUGACCCGGUAUGACCCGGCCGACCCAGCGGGUUGACCCGGUGACCCAGUUGACUUUUGAUUGAUAAGAAAUGACAGCUGGUUUUUUUUUUUUUUAUUAACGUGGAUGUCUAGACCAGCUUGCACGUACAUCGAUUAAUCCCACAGACCUUGAAGUUAACGACCAUGUAAGUCUCCAAAGAUCAUGAGAGAACUUGAACUCGUGACUAUUAAAAAACAAACCCAAAACCUAACUAGUUAAACUACAUCUUAGAGUUUGGUUCUUAAUAUUCUUGAUAGCCUUGCAAGAGUAAUGAGUGUGUUUUUUCAUCACAUUCCUAGUUUUUUUUUUUUUUUUUUGUGUGUUAUUUUAUUUGCUGGCUUCUUCUCAAUUGCUUCAAUCUUAUUCAUGUUUUUCCACGAAAGACUUUGACUUGGGAUCAACUUUUCGGCUAAUUACUUUUAUGCAAUUCAAAUUUAUGUUAGUAAAAUCACUUUAAUUAUUCUUUCAAUAUUCCCGUACGUGUGAUUCACUGCUUGGUGAUUCUAAAGUCACCUGUUUAAAAUUUAGGACAGCUAAAUUUAUACGACUAAAUUUAUUCUUACGAUAUUAUUCCUUUGGUAUAUAGUAUAUAUUCAAACAUAAAAACAUGUUUUUUAUGUUCCCACUAUUUUUGUAUUUUAUAUCAUGGUGCCUGAUUACCAUAACACUAAGUCAUAAUAAAUAAAUAAAUAAAAUUGAUUGUGGAAUGGCACAUGUAUUCGGGGAAAAAUAAAAAAAAUAAUCUUAUUGCUAGAGAUGCAUUGGAGCCUUUAAUAUUUUGCAAAGGCAUGGAACACUGAUGGCGUCAGCCCAGAAAAUUCUAAAAUAUUCUCGUCAUUUCCAAGAAAAAUCUAUCAAGAGGAAUUCUUUAUUUAUUUGGUAGGCAAGCAAAGUCAAAAGGGAGUGGUAGCUCAUCAUUUCCAAGAAAAUUCUAUCAAGAAACGAAGAUAUUUUUGAAGAAUAACAGAAAAUAAAUAAAACCAAAGCAUUUCCCCAAUUUAUUUUUGAUAAUUUAGCUUUAAUUAAACUUAAGUUAAUUUUAAUUUUUUAUGAAAAGAUAAUAUUAAAAUAAAAUAUUAAAAUAAAAAAACACCAAAUAUGAGUGUCAUACCAUAAAUUUCGUAAAGAAUAUACUUUUAUUCUUAAAUUUUAAAAAUCACGCAAAUCAUACAAUUUCAGUACCUCAAUAUUUUUUCAAUUUGAUUUUAAUACAAAAAUUUAUUUUUGUUAUUUUUUAAUACAUGAUUGAGAGAGGAGAGAGAGGUCAUCAGAUUCUAGUGAUGGAGAAAAAAAAAUGCAUUAAUAUCGAUUUAGAUUACCAAAACAGACACUAUUUGUGUCAAAUAGCUUUAUUUAAUAAGGAAAGCUCAUAUUAAGUAUUUUUUUUAUCUUUAAAGUUCUUGAAAAAAUAAAUCUAAUCUUCGGUUGAUUUUCUACCUUGAAAGAAACAUGAUAAUUUUUUUUUUUUGUGUCUUAACACUACUGAUCACUUCUUUAAAUACGCAUUAUUGUUGAUGAAUGAGAAUUUAAGUGAAUCGAAUUUAAGGAUUUCUAGAAGAAUUAAUUCUCUUAAAUUUUGUCAUAUUUUUUGUUUUUGUUUUUAUUAAUUUGGCUUUUCUUUCUUAAUUUUUAAUAUGUUUUGGAUGAAAAUGAAAUAUUUUAUAUAAAUUUUAAAAACAACUAUGAGAUUUAUUCAUAAAUAUUUUGUGUGACUCUUUACUUAUAUAAACGGAUGAAGCAUGUAAAUUAUAGUAAUUUUUUUUUAUAAUAGUUUUAAUCUGAAUAUCUUUUAGGAAAAAAUGCAUGAUGGAAAUGUUCUCUCGGACCCACCUCAUGGGGAAAACAUGUACGAUGGCACCAUCCAACAGGCCCAUUCAUGGAAAAAUGGAUGAUGGCAAUGGUCUAACUCUUGGAAAAAAUGGAGAAAAAAAAAAAGCAGGAUGGUAUAGGACGGCAGUGUACUCUUCAUCACAGUCACUUUCGUUUUCGUUUUUGAUAUUAUUAAGUAUUGCUUGCGUGGAUUUUUUUUACUCCGCAAGGCCUCACUGUUUUCUCGAGUAAUAUUAAGGAUGGAUUAUAUAAAAUUUUAUAUUUUUCAAUUUAGUUUUCAAAUUUAGUUUUUGAUGAUUUAGUUCUAAUUAAUAAUCAAUUGAUUUUGAUUUUGAUUUUUUAUAUAAAAAAAUUAAAAAAAAAUAAAUCGAAAUAUAAAAAGAAAGUUAAACAUGGAUGUUAUAGUCUUACAAAAGAAACACUUUUACUCCCUUCAUUAUAUUUAUUCAUAUAAUUCUGUGUUACUAUUAUUUAUAUACAUGUGCCAAACUAGAAAAUUAUAAAUCUUCAAAACAACACUGAGAUUUAUUCAUAUAUAUUCUGUGUUACAAUUACUUAUAUAAAUGGAUGAAGCAUGAAAAUUAUAGAAGGAGAUUGUUACAUACUAAACUCUGAAGAUGAAAUUGAGAAAUCUCAAGAAUAAGUCGUUUCAGAAGCCAAGAAAGAAGAUAAAAAAAGAUGGAAAUUAAUGAGCUUCCUAGCGUUAACCUUUUAUUUAUGUUUUUUCAUUAAAGACUGACAUCAGCCUUAUUAAAUUUGAUUCGGCAGGAAAGGUUGAUGUGAGAUCUAGUUUAACCUGAGUUUAGAUAAAACUAAGUGAGAGUUUACCCGUUAAACUUGAAUGAUCAGAUUAGUUAACCCGUAAAUAGUUUAAUUUAAUCAAAACAUGGUUUUCUUUUUUAACUAUGCAAUUUUUACUUUUUUUUUUAAAAAAGAAUAUCUUAAAAUGACACAAUUUUAAAUUAACACCAGUAAACAUGAAAUAACCUGCACAAUCUAUUACCUAAACCCUGAUUACUCAUGGUCCGAUGAAGAGGACCUUCUUAAGCUAGUUGUAGUAUAUAGAGAAUUUCUUAAUAACAUCUUAGAAAUAUAAUUCACAUCCGAAUUAAUAAUAUAAUAGGUUUUAAUAUUUACUUUUAAUAUAUAUAUAUAUAUAUAUAUAUAUAACACACUAAAUUGAGAUUUUUUUAUACAAGAUGAAAUUAAAACAUAUUAUUCUUUCUCAAGCUUACGGGGCAAUAUAUUUAUUUUAUUUAAAAACUUGUAUUGAUUUUAUUUUUUUUCCAAUUUGAAUACUUGUAUUCACGAAAUGGUUAAUAAAAUAUCUUUGUUAGUUUUGUUAUAAAAUAAUGACAUCACAGUUAACUCCUUUUGAAUAACUCCUUUUAGAUGAGUUUGAAUUUAUUUUAUUUUAUUUUUAAUUUUUGAACUAUAAGAAUAUAGAUAAAUUUAAAAUAAAUAUUUUCUUACAAUAGUCUUAGAGUGAAAUUAGAGCAAAAUUUAUAAUUUUAAAAUAAAAAAUACAUAAAAACAUGUUUUUCUGUUCCCACUAUUUUUGUAUUUUAUAUCAUGGUAAUUAAAUGUUGCCUGAUUAACAUAACACUAAAUUAUAAUAUAAAAAAUUAAUUGUGGAAUGGCAUGGUAGUUGGAUCUAUUUGUUUUUUUUUUUUUCGUGUGUGUGAUUAAAUUAAUUAUCUCGAUAAAUGACACAUGUGUUUGGGGAAAAAUAAAAUUAAUUAUUGCUAGAGAGGCACUGGAGCAAUUGAUAUUUUGCAAAGGCAUGGAAUUCGAUGCCAAGGGAAUGUAAGAUAGUUGUUGACUAGACUGCUGGCGUCAACGUGAUAAAGCAAUUAAUUAUAGUUAGCAACGACAAGCUGAAUUCAAGUUAGAUUUAAAGUUGGAUAAUAACUAUUUUUUAAAAUAUUUUUAUUUGAAAAUAUAUUAAAAUAAUAUAUUUUUUAUUUUUUAAAAAAUAUUUUUGAUAUCAAUAUAUAAAAAAAUCAAAAAAUAUAAAAAAAUAAUUUUAAAUAAAAAAAUCAAAAUUUAUCCAAUUUUUAUUUGAAGUCCCAAUAGGAGCAUAUCCAGGAAAAGUCUAAUCAAACCAAAGCCGUGAAAUUAGAAACCAAAAGAUUGACUAAAUUUGUUUUUAUAGUGAGCCAGCUUAGUGGUUGGGCAAAAACUUGAUGGAAAGAUUAUUAUUUAUUCAUCAAAACAAUUAUUUAUUUUGGAGGAAAACCCAAACUCAAUUUCAUUUGAUCAAAGUCACACCAUCAAAGAAACCCAAAAAAAAGUAUUUAAUUGAUAUAAUAAUUUUUUUUUUGGUAUACUAAUAUAAGAAAAAUAAAAAUCUAUUAAAAUGAGUGGCACUCGAACAACUUUAAAUGUUUUCAUACUUUAUCUUCCAGGCAAGAAAAAUCAAUAAAAAUAGGCGACGCUAUUUUGUAAAUUGAUAGAGAUAUCAAUAAAAAAAACAUGGAUAAAUUUUUUUUUCAAUUUGAAUAUUUAUUUUCAUGAAAUCUGAUAAAUAAAAUAUCUUUAUUAGUUCUAUUAUCAUAAUGAUGAUGAUGUCAUAGUUAAUUUUUUUUUUAGAUGAGUUUGGAUUGAUUUUAUUUUUUUUAUUUUAUUUUUAUUUUUUUAAAAAAUUGUUUUGUUUUCAGUUUGAAUUUAAAUAUUUAUUUUCAUGAAAUCUGAUAAAUAAAACAUAUAUCUUUAUUAGUUCUAUUAUCAAAAUGAUGAUGUCAUAGUUAAAUUCUUUUAGAUGAGUUUGGAUUGAUUUUAUUUUAUUUUUAAUUUAUGAAAAGUAAAGAUAUGUAAAAUACUUAUAUUUAAUAUUUUUUUAUUCAAGUACUCUAAUUGAUUUUUUUUUAUUUAAGUACUUAAUAAACUAGUGUGUGACCAUAAAUUUGUUUACAGAAUAAAUGUAAGGUUUACAUAAAGUAACUAUGGAAUAAUAAGAAUAUUAACAAUAAGAUUUAUUUAUAAAUAAAUCAUAGAUUUAAUGUCUCUAAAUUUUAAAUUUGGUGUGAAUAAAUUCAAGGGAUUUACAAGAUAAAUAGGACAAUAUUAGCCUUCGAGAAUCUCCCACUCUUCCUCUUCAAGGAAUUAAUUAGUGGGUAGUUAGUUUGUUCUAUUUUCUUCACGUUGUUUAUAGUUUUACCUAUAUUAUUGUCACAAAUUAGGAAUAGUUAAAACUAGUGAUAUUUCUCGCUUGCUAUUAAAACUAUAGUUUUUUUAAUUUGUUUCUCAAUUAUUGAAACAAUAAUAUUUUUAAUAUUAUCAUUCCCAUACUUUUAUAAAAAUCAUUUCUAUUAAACCACAUUAACAUGUUUAAAUUAAAGUAUAUUAUCCCUUCUUAAUUAAGGAACAAAAAUUAAACAAGCUUACGAACCCAGCUCGUGGAACUGCCUUGUUCUUUUUUCUUCUUUUUUUGAACUGCCUUGUCUCUCUUUCUUUUUUGUCUUCCAUUUCUUAAUCCUUCAAGAUUUAAAAUACAUAGCAAUUUAAGUUAGGAAUGUUGAUGAAACAUUAAAUAUAACCAGAAAACAAAUAAAAAAAUUAAUUAUUAUUUUUUAAAGUAUUUUUUACUUAAAAAUAUAUUAAAAUAAUAUAAAUUUUAUUUUUUAAUAUCAGCACAUUAAAAAAAUCAAGAUAUAUAUAUAUAUAUAUAAAAUAAUUUUAAAUAAAAAAUUAAAAUUUUAUCCAAUUUUUAUUUGGCCAACCGGGGCAUAUCCAGGAAAAGUCUAUCAAGAAACGAAGAUAUUCGGAGAAUCACAGAAAAUAAAUCAAACCAAAAGAUGGAUCAAAUUUGUCUCUACAGGAGCCAUCUUAGUGAUGGGGCAAAAACUUGAUGGAGAGAUAAUUAUUUAUUUAUCAAAACAAUUAUUUAUUCUAGAGAGGAAAACCCAAACUCAAUUUCAUAAUAAAAAAAGUUGGCAUAUUAAUAUAAAAAAAUAAAAAUCUACUAAAAUGGAUGGACUCAAAUAGUUCUGAAUGUUCAUCUUGUGAUCCAUUUUUGGGUCCCCGCACAAAAAAAAAAUCAAUCAAAAAUAUAUCAAAAAAAUAAUAAUUGUAGUGAAAAGAGGAUGUUAGAGCGUCUAGAAAAUGGUCAAAAUCAAUCCUAAAAGUCAAGCAUUAUUCUUGCAUGGUUGAUCUUUGUGCGCGUGCAGGACUUUUGAACGAAGCUUGGGACUUGAUCAAGAAGAUGCCUGGAAAACGAGAUGAAAUUGUGUUGGGGUCAUUGCUUGGUGCUGUCAGAGGCGUAGAAAUGCAGAUGUUGGUGAAAGGGUCAUUCAAUUGUUUCCAGAGAUGCAAUUAUCUCAUCUAAGAUAUAUGCAAAUAUGAGAAGGUGGGAUGAUUCUGCAAAGAUGAGGCAGUGUGGUGUCUCUAAAACCCCUGACUGUAGCUGGAUUGACGUUGGAGCUCGUGCUCAUGAAUUUCAUGCUGGUGACAGCUUACAUCAUCAUUCGUAGAACAUAUACCAAUUGCUGAAUGAGGAGAUGAAGAGAGAAGGUUACAUUCCAAAUAUAUAUCGGUUGCAUAUAGAGGUGGAAAUGUUGAAAACUUGGUGGCCUCUUUCAGCCAUUGAGCAGUGCAUUCGGAGGGAUUGUAUCUUCUGGUUGAUGACUAUAGCCAAAAUGUUGAAUGAUAAGUUGUGUUCUUAAGAGCUUGAGCAAGGAUCUCUAUCUUGCUGAUAGAAAUGUAUAGUUUACCCUCACAUGAGUAUGUUUCUGUAGAAUGAAAAUGGUUGUUGGAUUGGUACAUGCAUUUGCUGUAAAAUAAUGCAAGUUCAUUGCGGAAAGAAUGCUAAAACUAUUUUUUUUUCCAGAACAUAAGGAGGGAAUGCAGGGGGGAUAUUGGUGGAUUGAAAUAAAAUGCACUUGACACCUUAUAAGUUUUUAAGGGAUGCCAUAAAUCAUCAUUUUCAAUAGUCCUCUAAGCCAUAAUGUUGUUUAGUUUCUGAACAGACUUCACUUGGAAUCUGACAGAACCCAAUCUACGAUUAGAACUUAUGCAGAAAUUGCCUCAUAACGGGACUCCAUAUCUAUUUGUCUUUCCCUAGUGGGACCUUGUCAUUUCAAUUGUUGAUGUAAAUGCAGUGUAAAAUGUUUUUAGGCCUUGAUUGUAGUUUCUGCUUGGAAAGUAGUUUCUAUAAAAAAUAAAUUAUUCAAAAAUAAAUUAUUUUAUGAUAUUUAGCAGUGUUAUAAAAAAUAAAUUGAAAAAUAUUUUUAUUUUUCCUGUUUAAUUAUAGCAGACUUAACUUUAUUUUCAUAUAUUCUUUCGCCAUAUAUUUGUCCAUUUCUAAUUGGAUCUAUUAUUCUUGUAAUUCUCAUUUUCUAGUUUUUUUUAGAGGAGGUUUAAUUUUUUUGUUUUUACCUCCAGGUGAAAGCUAAGGUUUUCUAGUUUUCUGUACAUCACUUUUGGAACAUCCGAUACCUAGUCUAAGCGUAAUUAAAUGACUUUAAUCAAGCAUUGCAGCAUAUGUUGGACGUUUGAGAUUAGAGUAUUCAGAAGUGGAGAUGAAUUGUUAUGUGGAAUCUCGAGACUGCUUUGAUUCAUUAAUUUGCUCAAUACCGGGUGGUCAUCCAUUUCAAGUGGGGAGUGCCAUAUGGGCAAGGGUCAGCCCUGAAGGGAUUCGUUCUCCACAUUACCCUUUGAUAUUAGCUGGGAAACUCAAUCUAAGACAGCUCAAUACUCUCAGUUACUAAAGUUGUAGAUCAAACAAAUUAUCUAAGUGCUCACAAGCUUAUAUACAAUCAGUGAAACAANNNNNNNNNNNNNNNNNNNNNNNNNNNNNNNNNNNNNNNNNNNNNNNNNNNNNNNNNNNNNNNNNNNNNNNNNNNNNNNNNNNNNNNNNNNNNNNNNNNNAUUGAUCAUCCGUAAAUCAAGUAAUAAUGUAAUAUACAAGGAAAGUAAAAACUCAUGGAAUUGAAAAGCCUCCGCUAUAUAAAAACCCUUAAAACCGAAUGGAACUGUAUAAAUUAAUACGACAUCGUUUGGGCAUGCUUUUAAACUUGUUUAAAUCUUAAAACUAGAAUACACAAUGAAGCACAAAGUCUUGGUACCAUCAAAGCUAUGAAAACCCAAACUUGGAUAAAAUGGGAAGAUUAUCCACUAGAAAAUAAUAGCAAUUGUUGAUGCUCACCUCAAUAAAGUGAAACCAAGCUCGUCGCCAAUAUGGAUUUAUAUAUAGAACUGCACCAAUCACCAGCAGCACCAUGAUGUAUGCAACCCAAAAGGUCACAUAGAAAACCUCCAUAUUCAUGAAGCCACCAUGAUCUUCAUUGUUCGUUGAAGUUGGCGUUGAUGAUGGUGGCAUAACAGCAGCACAUAUUUUGGGUAGCGGUUCUCCACAAAGAAAAGGGUUGUCCUUGUAGCAACUCUCAUCAAACGUGGCAAACUGUGCAACUCUCGCAGGAGUCUUACCGGAUAAAUUAUUGUGAGCCACACUAAAAACUUCUAGAGAAAAUAGUUCAGUAAGUCGAGGUGGGAUUUCUCCAUCCAGUUUGUUGUAGGAAAGAUCCAAGCUCUCUAUUUCCUUUAAGUUCCAAAAUGUUGGUGGAAUUGGUCCAGUCAAACUGUUGUGCGAAAGGUUCAAUGCCUUGAUCUUGCUGAGGUUUCCAAUUUCAGGAGGAAUAUUCCCGGUGAAAUUGUUGCAUGAGAAAUCAAUUCCUAUUAAGUACUGGAUAAUGCUUCCUUUAUAAGGAAGGGAUACAUUCUUUGUUGUAAACUCGAAAGAUUGUUGUGAUGAGAACAUAGAAUCAUGGGAAUUGUAUUGAAAAGGAAAAGGAUGAGUAGAUAUCAUCCAAGAGAGGAUGUUACCAGAAAGAUAAUUGUGAGAUAGAUCAAUCACGGUUAAUUGGUCCAACCUGCAUAAUCGAAUUGGGAUUUCACCUUCAAGAUUGUUAUAACUCAAGAGUAGAAAUCUCAAGUUAGAUAGCCUGCCAAUCCAUUCUGGAAUUCUACCAGUUAAAUCAUUAUGGGAAAGAUCUAAUGCGAAUAUCUCAGAGGAGUCAUAAAAUGCCAUUGCGAUCGGUCCUUGCAACUUAUUUCUAGACAAAUAAACAACUCUUAAUUUUGAAGAAGUGUUGAAUCUAGGUGGUAAAGGACCAGAUAAAUUGUUCCUUGAUAGGUCCAAGAAUUCAAGAGAAGACAUAUUCCCAAUCCAUCCAGGGAUCUGCCCUUGCAAACUGUUGUUGGACAGGUCUAACUCGUACAUCAAGCUCAUGUUACCUAAUGAGGAAGGAAUGCUUCCAUUGAAACCAUUAUCAGACAUCAAUAAAACUUCUAACCCUGGCAAAUGAGCUCUAAUUUCUGAAGGGAUUUGUCCUUGGAAGUGAUUCAUUGAUAUACUUAGGAAUGACAAAUUCACAUGAGAACUCUUUGGCAACAAGAAUGGACCUGAAAGAGAACAAUUUUCUAAAGAAAGACGUUUGAGGUAUGUGUUGUUCUCAAUCAACCAAUUUGGAAACUCUCCCUUUAUUUGGAAGUUUGUAAGAUCCAAAGAUUGCAGGCUGAACUGAUGGUAAAGGAACUUGGGAAAUGCUCUCGUAUUUUGUCCACCAUUGCUCAAAGAAAGGGACUCUAACUGGAACUUUGGGGUGAGAUUAUGAUCAUCUUCUUCUGCACAUAUUUCAUUCCCUGAACCAUAAAAAGACUUGAGUUUUGAAAGGUUGUAUAACGGGCUCAAUGACAUAGGUAUCUUCAAGUGAUUGGAAGAGAGAUAUAAUCGUUGAAGGGAAGUCAUAUUUGCCAGACACGGAGGCAAGAAACCAAUGAGAUCAUUGUCAUACAUAUAUAGCUCUUGAAGAUGAUUUAAGUCACAUAGGCCUGAUCACAUUAUAAUUUAGGAAAAAAAAUUAAAACUUUGAGUUUCUAAUGGAAAAGAUAUAACCUAGGGAGAGGGUAAGAGUCAUCAACCUUACCUUGGGUUGUAGGUAAUUGGCCAUUUAGACUACAAUUCUGCAACCAUAAAGUUUUAAGAGAGGGCAUCGUUCUGAUGGUUUGUAAGAUGUUGUUACUGAGAGUAUUGGAACUUAAAUCCAAGAAUUCCAAGUUCUUGAGAUUAAAGAAGCCUACUACAAUCAAGAAAUUAUAUUAACGUAGAAGCAAUUAAAAUUAUAAAGGAAAUGAAAGAGUAAGAGUCAUCAACCUUACCUUGGGUUGUAGGUAUUUGACCAUCUAUUCUGCAGCUCUGCAAAAUCAAAGUUCUAAGAGAGGUCAUCGUUCCGAUGGCUUGGAAGAUGCUAUUAUUGAGAGUAUUGUAACUCAAAUCCAAGUAUUCCAAGUUCUUGAGAUCAAGGAAGCCUGCCACAAUCAAUUAGACAAGAAAUUAUAUUAAUGUAGAAGGAAUGAAGAUUAGAAAUAAU